rnacentral:misc_RNA from 1 species
GAUGAAGAACGCAGCGAAAUGCGAUAAGUAAUGUGAAUUGCAGAAUUCAGUGAAUCAUCGAAUCUUUGAACGCACAUUGCGCCCCUUGGUAUUCCGAGGGGCAUGCCUGUUCGAGCGUCAUUAUAACCCCUCAAGCUCAGCUUGGUGUUGGGGCCUGCCGCACGGGCAGCCCUUAAAAUCAGUGGCGGUGCCAUCUGGCUCUAAGCGUAGUAAUUCUUCUCGCUAUAGAGUCCCGGUGGAUGCUUGCCAUUAACCCCCAAUUUUCUAUGGUUAACCUCGGAUCAGGUAGGGAUACCCGCUGAACUUAAGCAUAUCAAUAAGCGGAGGA